GGAGAGGAAAGCAGCAAUGCGCCGAGAGAGGAGCCCGCGGCCGAUUAGCUAGUUGGUGAGGUAACGGCCCACCAAGGCUUAGAUCGGUAGCCGGCCUGAGAGGGCACACGGCCACACUGGCACUGAAACACGGGCCAGACUCCUACGGGAGGCAGCAGUGGGGAAUCUUGCACAAUGGGGGCAACCCUGAUGCAGCGACGCCGCGUGAGCGAUGAAGCCCUUCGGGGUGUAAAGCUCUUUCGGCAGGGAAGAAUCAUGACGGUACCUGCAGAAGCAGCUGCGGCUAACUACGUGCCAGCAGCCGCGGUAAUACGUAGGCAGCGAGCGUUGUUCGGAGUUACUGGGCGUAAAGGGUGUGUAGGCGGCUCUCCAAGUUUGGUGUGAAAUCUCCCGGCUCAACCGGGAGGGUGCGCCGAAAACUGGAAGGCUAGAGUGCGGGAUGGGAGAGUGGAAUUCCUGGUGUAGCGGUGAAAUGCGUAGAUAUCAGGAGGAACACCGGUGGUGUAGACGGCUCUCUGGACCGUAACUGACGCUGAGACACGAAAGCGUGGGUAGCAAACAGGAUUAGAUACCCUGGUAGUCCACGCCCUAAACGAUGCAUAUUUGGUGUAGGUCAUUCAGUUGAUCUGUGCCGGAGCUAACGCGUUAAAUAUGCCGCCUGGGGAGUACAGUCGCAA
rnacentral:rRNA from 1 species